rnacentral:rRNA from 1 species
GCUCAGGACGAACGCUGGCGGCGUGCCUAAUACAUGCAAGUCGAGCGGACAGAUGGGAGCUUGCUCCCUGAUGUUAGCGGCGGACGGGUGAGUAACACGUGGGUAACCUGCCUGUAAGACUGGGAUAACUCCGGGAAACCGGGGCUAAUACCGGAUGGUUGUUUGAACCGCAUGGUUCAAACAUAAAAGGUGGCUUCGGCUACCACUUACAGAUGGACCCGCGGCGCAUUAGCUAGUUGGUGAGGUAACGGCUCACCAAGGCGACGAUGCGUAGCCGACCUGAGAGGGUGAUCGGCCACACUGGGACUGAGACACGGCCCAGACUCCUACGGGAGGCAGCAGUAGGGAAUCUUCCGCAAUGGACGAAAGUCUGACGGAGCAACGCCGCGUGAGUGAUGAAGGUUUUCGGAUCGUAAAGCUCUGUUGUUAGGGAAGAACAAGUACCGUUCGAAUAGGGCGGUACCUUGACGGUACCUAACCAGAAAGCCACGGCUAACUACGUGCCAGCAGCCGCGGUAAUACGUAGGUGGCAAGCGUUGUCCGGAAUUAUUGGGCGUAAAGGGCUCGCAGGCGGUUUCUUAAGUCUGAUGUGAAAGCCCCCGGCUCAACCGGGGAGGGUCAUUGGAAACUGGGGAACUUGAGUGCAGAAGAGGAGAGUGGAAUUCCACGUGUAGCGGUGAAAUGCGUAGAGAUGUGGAGGAACACCAGUGGCGAAGGCGACUCUCUGGUCUGUAACUGACGCUGAGGAGCGAAAGCGUGGGGAGCGAACAGGAUUAGAUACCCUGGUAGUCCACGCCGUAAACGAUGAGUGCUAAGUGUUAGGGGGUUUCCGCCCCUUAGUGCUGCAGCUAACGCAUUAAGCACUCCGCCUGGGGAGUACGGUCGCAAGACUGAAACUCAAAGGAAUUGACGGGGGCCCGCACAAGCGGUGGAGCAUGUGGUUUAAUUCGAAGCAACGCGAAGAACCUUACCAGGUCUUGACAUCCUCUGACAAUCCUAGAGAUAGGACGUCCCCUUCGGGGGCAGAGUGACAGGUGGUGCAUGGUUGUCGUCAGCUCGUGUCGUGAGAUGUUGGGUUAAGUCCCGCAACGAGCGCAACCCUUGAUCUUAGUUGCCAGCAUUCAGUUGGGCACUCUAAGGUGACUGCCGGUGACAAACCGGAGGAAGGUGGGGAUGACGUCAAAUCAUCAUGCCCCUUAUGACCUGGGCUACACACGUGCUACAAUGGACAGAACAAAGGGCAGCGAAACCGCGAGGUUAAGCCAAUCCCACAAAUCUGUUCUCAGUUCGGAUCGCAGUCUGCAACUCGACUGCGUGAAGCUGGAAUCGCUAGUAAUCGCGGAUCAGCAUGCCGCGGUGGAAUACGGUUCCCGGGGCCUUGUACACACCGGCCCGUCACACCACGAGAGUUUGUAACACCCGAAGUCGGUGAGGUAACCUUUUAGGAGCCAGCCGCCGAAGGUGGGACAGAUGAUUGGGGUG